UACGUAGGGCGCAAGCGUUGUCCGGAAUUAUUGGGCGUAAAGAGCUCGUAGGUGGUUCGGCAAGUCAGUUGUGAAAUCUCCGCGCUCAACGCGGAGGGGUCAGCUGAAACUGCUGUGACUUGAGUCUGGUAGGGGAGUGUGGAAUUCCCGGUGUAGCGGUGAAAUGCGCAGAUAUCGGGAGGAACACCAGUGGCGAAGGCGGCACUCUGGGCCAGUACUGGACGCUGAGACGGCGAAAGCGUGGGGAGCAAACAGG
rnacentral:rRNA from 1 species